UACAGAGGUCUCAAGCGUUGUUCGGAUUCAUUGGGCGUAAAGGGUGCGUAGGUGGCGCCGUAAGUCAGGUGUGAAAUUUCGGAGCUUAACUCCGAAACUGCAUUUGAUACUGCGGUGCUUGAGGACUGGAGAGGAGACUGGAAUUUACGGUGAAGCAGUGAAAUGCGUAGAGAUCGUAAGGAAGACCAGUGGCGAAGGCGGGUCUCUGGAAAGUUCCUGACACUGAGGCACGAAGGCCAGGGGAGCAAACGGG
rnacentral:rRNA from 1 species